UAGGAACUACCGCUUGUGGUUGA
rnacentral:miRNA from 11 species